UAGCCUCCGCCCACUAUCGAACGCCACCUCUGCCACCACCGUCAACCUCUGACACCUGCAAAAUAGCAAACAACACACAACAACAAAAAAGAAGAAGAUGACAGGGAAAAGAACCGAAUACAAAGGAAUCGAAAAUCAAUUCAAAGGUUUAUUUAUUGUCAUUUUAAUUUCUCCUUCAUUUUCUUGUUUAUUUCAUUUUUUAUAUACAUAUUCUAUAUGCAAAAGUAAAGUAAAAAAGAAAAGAAAGAACUUACCCCUUUUCGGGUUCGUGACGCCGUCGGGACGGUCGAGGGAGCCACUUCCGAGGAUAGGUGGCCGAAAACUGAAAGGUUUCUUGAGUUUUUCGGGGUUUUUGUUAAUGUGUCGGGGUUUUCGAACUCAGAUUUGGGUUUAGGGGGUUUGAAAGGAUUGAACUGGAGAUUUUAGCCUUUUUCGGCCACCGCAUACAGUGGCACCGUCGCUUGCGAUCAGCGGCCGACACGGUGGCCGGUGAUCGAAAGUUGACCGGACCCUAGACGAAACUCAGGGGUUGAGG
rnacentral:lncRNA from 1 species